rnacentral:tRNA from 1 species
GCUCCCGUAGUAUAGCUUGGAUAGUAUACGACCCUGCGGAGGUCGCGACCCGCGUUCAAAUCGCGGCGGGAGCG